rnacentral:rRNA from 1 species
GAUGAACGCUGGCGGCGUGCUUAACACAUGCAAGUCGAACGAAGCAUUUAGGACAGAUUACUUCGGUUUGAAGUUCUUUAUGACUGAGUGGCGGACGGGUGAGUAACGCGUGGGUAACCUGCCUUGUACUGGGGGAUAGCAGCUGGAAACGGCUGGUAAUACCGCAUAAGCGCACAAUGUUGCAUGACAUGGUGUGAAAAACUCCGGUGGUAUAAGAUGGACCCGCGUCUGAUUAGCUAGUUGGUGAGAUAACAGCCCACCAAGGCGACGAUCAGUAGCCGACCUGAGAGGGUGACCGGCCACAUUGGUACUGAGACACGGCCCAGACUCCUACGGGAGGCAGCAGUGGGGAAUAUUGCACAAUGGAGGAAACUCUGAUGCAGCGACGCCGCGUGAGUGAAGAAGUAAUUCGUUAUGUAAAGCUCUAUCAGCAGGGAAGAUAGUGACGGUACCUGACGAAGAAGCUCCGGCUAAAUACGUG